UCUGAUCUCAGAUCAAGCAAGAAGACCCGCCGAAUUUAAGCAUAUAAUUAAGCGGAGGAAAAGAAACUAACCAGGAUUCCCCUAGUAAGGGCGACUGAAGCGGGAAUAGCUCACGAUGUGAAUCAGCGCUGCUUUGUGGCGCUGAAUUGUGGUCUGAAAACGCUUGCAUUACUGGCGGGGCCAAGUCCCUUGGAACAGGGCAGCCGAGAGGGCGAGACUCCCGUGUGCCCUGCCUUUGGAGCGAGCGUUUGACGAGUCGAGUUGUUUGGGAUUGCAGCUCUA
rnacentral:rRNA from 1 species